rnacentral:tRNA from 1 species
GCACCUGUCGUUCAAUGGACAGGACAACGCGCUUCGAACGCGUCAAUCUCGGUUCGAGUCCGAGUGGGUGCCCCA